GAUAAACGCUGGCGGCGCACAUAAGACAUGCAAGUCGAACGAACUUAACCAUUAGUUUACUAUUGGAGCGGUUAGUGGCGGACUGGUGAGUAACACGUAAGCAACCUGCCUAUCAGAGGGGAACAACAGUUAGAAAUGACUGCUAAUACCGCAUAAGCCUUAGCAACGCAUGUUGCAAAAGGAAAAGGAGCAAUCCGCUGAUAGAUGGGCUUGCGUCUGAUUAGCUAGUUGGUGAGGUAACGGCCCACCAAGGCGACGAUCAGUAGCCGAACUGAGAGGUUGGACGGCCACACUGGGACUGAGAUACGGCCCAGACUCCUACGGGAGGCAGCAGUCGGGAAUAUUGCGCAAUGGAGGAAACUCUGACGCAGUGACGCCGCGUGCAGGAAGAAGGUUUUCGGAUUGUAAACUGCUUUAGACAGGGAAGAAGAAAGACAGUACCUGUAGAAUAAGCUCCGGCUAACUACGUGCCAGCAGCCGCGGUAAUACGUAGGGAGCAAGCGUUAUCCGGAUUUAUUGGGUGUAAAGGGUGCGUAGACGGGGAACCAAGUUAGUUGUGAAAUCCCUUGGCUUAACUGAGGAACUGCAACUAAAACUAAUUUUCUUGAGUGCUGGAGAGGAAAGUGGAACUCCUAGUGUAGCGGUGAAAUGCGUAGAUAUUAGGAAGAACACCAGUGGCGAAGGCGACUUUCUGGACAGUAACUGACGUUGAGGCACGAAAGUGUGGGGAGCAAACAGGAUUAGAUACCCUGGUAGUCCACACCGUAAACGAUGGAUACUAGGUGUAGGAUGUGAUAAACAUUCUGUGCCGUCGCAAACGCAGUAAGUAUCCCACCUGGGGAGUACGGCCGCAAGGUUGAAACUCAAAGGAAUUGACGGGGGCCCGCACAAGCAGUGGAGUAUGUGGUUUAAUUCGACGCAACGCGAAGAACCUUACCAGGGCUUGACAUAUACAGGAAUAACUAAGAGAUUAGUUAGCUCUUCGGAGUCUGUAUACAGGUGGUGCAUGGUUGUCGUCAGCUCGUGUCGUGAGAUGUUGGGUUAAGUCCCGCAACGAGCGCAACCCCUGUUCUUAGUUGCCAGCAUGUAAAGAUGGGAACUCUAAGAAGACUGCCGGUGACAAAUCGGAGGAAGGUGGGGACGACGUCAAAUCAUCAUGCCCUAUAUGUCCUGGGCUACACACGUACUACAAUGGCUAUGACAAAGAGAAGCGAAACCGCGAGGUGGAGCAAAACUCAAAAAAGUAGUCUCAGUUCAGAUUGAAGGCUGAAAUUCGCCUUCAUGAAGGCGGAAUUGCUAGUAAUGGCAGGUCAGCAUACUGCCGUGAAUACGUUCCCGGGCCUUGUACACACCGCCCGUCACACCAUGAGAGUUGGGGAUACCCGAAGCCCGUGAGCCAACUGUAAAGAGGCAGCGGUCGAAGGUAGAAUCAAUGAUUGGGGUGA
rnacentral:rRNA from 1 species